rnacentral:rRNA from 1 species
UACGAAGGGGGCUAGCGUUGCUCGGAAUCACUGGGCGUAAAGCGCACGUAGGCGGCUUGUUAAGUCAGGGGUGAAAUCCUGGAGCUCAACUCCAGGACUGCCUUUGAUACUGGCGAGCUUGAGUCCGGGAGAGGUGAGUGGAACUGCGAGUGUAGAGGUGAAAUUCGUAGAUAUUCGCAAGAACACCAGUGGCGAAGGCGGCUCACUGGCCCGGUACUGACGCUGAGGUGCGAAAGCGUGGGGAGCAAACAGG